rnacentral:lncRNA from 1 species
GCACCACACACAGCAUCGCAUCCUCUGUUCGCUUCUUUGUCUCCCCUCCUCCUCAGUGAGAUCCUCGAGAGUGGUGCAGUGUCUUACUCUUUGUCUCCACAGAUAUUGGCAGAGUACCUGGCAUAUGAUUACACUCAAUUAUGAUGAACUGAACUGCUCAAGGAAAGAGUUGGUGGAACAACUUUAAGCCUAAGAAUGCACGGAUAUAUUAUGCAGUCUGGAGGAUAUCAAAUAAGUACUGUCUGUGCCUUCUUUUCCCCAAAGCAAACCAUUCCCAUAUCAAGAAUUCUGGGGUAAGGAUUUGCCCUCUUUUUAAGCUGGAGAGAGAGAAAAGAAAGAAAAUUGACCUUAGAAAUGGAAAGAAACAUACAAAGUCAACAGAGGUACUUUGAUCCACCAAGGAAGAAGUCUGAAAGGAGACCUGGAAAUAGGCAGGAAUCCAGAGAGUAUUGUUUUGGUAUUAGAAGUUCUCAAGAAGAGAAGCCAUGGGCCAUGAGCUCUUUUAAAAGUGGGAAGUUAGAAAACUAAGGCCUUGGUGGUAGGGUUACCAGAUUCAGCAAGUAAAAAUAUGAGAUGGCUAGAUAAACUUGAAUGUCAGAUAAAUUUUAAAAAAAUUUUUCUUUUGUCAGUAUGUUCCACAGGGUAUCUUGUGUUUUAUCCAGCAACCCUACCUGGGGGAGAACUUCUGGGAAUGUAUCCAGAAUAACUUAACACUGGGAGUUGACUACCAAUUCCAGGUUUCUCAUGGAAGAA